GAGCGCACCCCUUCGGGGGCGAGCGGCGGACGGGUUAGUAACGCGUGGGAACAUACCCAAUGGUACGGAAUAGCCUCGGGAAACUGAGAGUAAUACCGUAUGUGCCCUUCGGGGGAAAGAUUUAUCGCCAUUGGAUUGGCCCGCGUUAGAUUAGAUAGUUGGUGGGGUAAUGGCCUACCAAGUCUACGAUCUAUAGCUGGUUUUAGAGGAUGAUCAGCAACACUGGGACUGAGACACGGCCCAGACUCCUACGGGAGGCAGCAGUGGGGAAUCUUAGACAAUGGGCGCAAGCCUGAUCUAGCCAUGCCGCGUGUGUGAUGAAGGCCUUAGGGUCGUAAAGCACUUUCGCCAGAGAUGAUAAUGACAGUAUCUGGUAAAGAAACCCCGGCUAACUCCGUGCCAGCAGCCGCGGUAAUACGGAGGGGGUUAGCGUUGUUCGGAAUUACUGGGCGUAAAGCGUACGUAGGCGGAUCAGAAAGUAUGGGGUGAAAUCCCAGGGCUCAACCCUGGAACUGCCUCAUAAACUCCUGGUCUUGAGUUCGAGAGAGGUGAGUGGAAUUCCAAGUGUAGAGGUGAAAUUCGUAGAUAUUUGGAGGAACACCAGUGGCGAAGGCGGCUCACUGGCUCGAUACUGACGCUGAGGUACGAAAGUGUGGGGAGCAAACAGGAUUAGAUACCCUGGUAGUCCACACCGUAAACGAUGAAUGCCAGUCGUCGGGCAGUAUACUGUUCGGUGACACACCUAACGGAUUAA
rnacentral:rRNA from 1 species